rnacentral:rRNA from 1 species
GAUGAACGCUGGCGGCGUGCUUAACACAUGCAAGUCGAACGAAGCACUUUAACCUGAUUCUUCGGAUGUAGGUUUUUGUGACUGAGUGGCGGACGGGUGAGUAACGCGUGGGUAACCUGCCUCAUAAAGGGGGAUAACAGUUAGAAAUGACUGCUAAUACCGCAUAAGACCACAGAGCCGCAUGGCUCGGUGGGAAAAACUCCGGUGGUAUGAGAUGGACCCGCGUCUGAUUAGGUAGUUGGUGGGGUAAGGGCCUACCAAGCCAACGAUCAGUAGCCGACCUGAGAGGGUGACCGGCCACAUUGGGACUGAGACACGGCCCAAACUCCUACGGGAGGCAGCAGUGGGGAAUAUUGCACAAUGGGGGAAACCCUGAUGCAGCGACGCCGCGUGAGCGAAGAAGUAUUUCGGUAUGUAAAGCUCUAUCAGCAGGGAAGAAAAUGACGGUACCUGACUAAGAAGCACCGGCUAAAUACGUG